rnacentral:rRNA from 1 species
AUUGAACGCUGGCGGCAUGCCUAACACAUGCAAGUCGAACGCGUGUAGCAAUACACGAGUGGCGGACGGGUGAGUAACGCGUGGGAACCUGCCCAAUGGGAGGGAAUAACUGCGGGAAACUGCAGCUAAUACCCUAUGCUCCCUACGGGGAAAGAUUUAUCGCCAUUGGAGGGGCCCGCGUCGGAUUAGCUAGUUGGCGGGGUAACGGCCCACCCAAGG